AAUGAACGUUGGCGGCGUGGAUUAGGCAUGCAAGUCGAGCGGAAAGGCCCGCAAGGGCACUCGAGCGGCGUAAGGGACAGUAAUGUGUAGGUAACGUACCCCUGGGUCUAGGAUAGCUGCGGGAAACUGCAAUUAAUACUAGAUAACGUCUCCGGACCAAAGGUGUGAUUCCACCUGGGGAGCGGCCUACAUCCUAUUAGCUAGUUGGCGAGGUAAUGGCUCACCAAGGCGAAGAUGGGUAGCAGGUGUGAGAGCACGACCUGCGUCACUGGGACUGAGACACUGCCCAGACACCUACGGGUGGCUGCAGUCGAGAAUCUUCGGCAAUGGGCGAAAGCCUGACCGAGCGACGCCGCGUGU
rnacentral:rRNA from 1 species